GGGAGGAAGGGAGGAAGGGAGGAAGAGCAGACGGAUAGGCGCGAAGCCAAGGUGGGGAGAUGGUUUGGCUCUCCCUGGCAUUGCUCACGCCGUAUCCGUGCUGUCCAGCACGCAGUUUUCCCUGCUAGGUUCACCCACCUCACUAGGAACCCACAUGAAACUAACCUGCAGAUCUAGUUUGUUGCGAGACAAGCAAACCCAGGACCGUCUGAAAGGUGGCUUUUGUGUACUAAUGAUAAUCUAGCAUUUCUUCAGAGAUGUAAGGUUUGCAAAGCCAUACAGACAAACAGACACACACACACAGAUGCCAACAGGGCACUAUACGUGAGGGUAAUCAGAAAUGCAUACAUUAUGUUUGGGGACAGCCAGACCAACCUCCUGGGGACCACUUUUUAAACAAAGGUAUCUUGUGAUUACGGAAGAAACUCGGGUGGGGGCGGAGAAGGGAGAAUUGUAGCUUGCCCUCCCUGCUAGGUUCUAAAGGGAUUCUGCGUCGAUUGGGGAUUCAACUGCACCGCUAGGGACUAACAAUGGAGCCCCAUUGUUCUCCGGGAGCGCUCCGUCUGCGGUAUAAAUGAACGCCCCCCGCCCCCGCCCGGCUCUGGGGCAAAACCUGCUUGCUCCUCCCCUUCUCCUCACCUAGGGCUAGCGGACGACCACUUGACCCUGGCAGUGGCAGGACGCAGCCCAGGUGAAGUGGGCUUGGUUCUGAGGCUGCUUUCCCCAAGCUCCUCCCAUCUUCGUCUUGGUCCCUCCCCUUCUCCGCGCUGCCUCCACCCAUUUCAGGUUCUGUCCCCUGUGUUGGAGGCGAAGCUCCCUCAGUCUCCCUCCCACCUUUUCCCUCUUGGCCUCGGCGAAGACUACUAGAGGGCUGUGCAGUCUGUGGUCCGCGCAGCUUGUGGGAGUGGGCGAGCCCAGCCAGCUUUGGAGGACGACGCGAGAAACUCGGGUGCCAGCUGCCACCAUCCAGUACCUCCACCUUCCGCUCGGUGCCUGUCUCCCCGAGGGUGAAAGGAAGCGAGACAGCGGCACCGGUGCUCUAUAGCAAGUGCGGCUGCAGGCGAGGCAGCGAGCUCCGCAGCCAGCCACGCCGGGGAGCAAGCCUGGGGCUGGGGGCUGCGGGCUGCCAGUCCCAAGGGGCCGCAGCAGCUGGGCGGGGCAGUCGGAUCCAGAAGCCGAGACCAGGAGCUCAGCCGGUGGUUGUGGAUCACCAGGGACAGACAGCUCGUUUCCUCAUCUUCCAGAAUCACCUUGACCACACUGUGGCUAAUUGACCUGGCAGCUGGACCCACCCGCCUAGAACCUCUGGAAGGUCUCCUUUGUGGACUGCUCUCAUAUCCGAGGUCUUAUCUGUUGUCCGAGCUAUUGGAGAAAAUGAUGUGAUAGAGUCCAUAUUGAAGCUUUUUUUGGAAAAGUGCCCACUCAUCCCACAAAGAAAGUGGCUUUUUUUCUUACCUUGCAGAAC
rnacentral:lncRNA from 1 species